rnacentral:lncRNA from 1 species
AGGCACGGCCCCAACAAGGCCUGCAGAGCAAUUGAAUGGCUGGGGAGUGUCAGUAGCUACCGGGGGGCUGGGAGCAGCCUGCUUGGUUGGCAAUAAUUGCAGCACAUUAAACCCGUACGCUUUCCCCUUCCUCCCUUUUGUUUUUCUUUCAUAACAUUCUUGUUUCUGAAACACAGCACUCCUGUAGGUGCCAGAAACAAGCACUGACUGGGAAUCUAAAAAUUAACUGCAUUAUGUUUGAACGUCUGUUACUCCAUUUAUGUGUAAGCUGUGGGAUAGGCAGGUUUUCAGUGUACAAAAUUGUAGCAGCCUUUCCCUUUCCUAAUCAGCAUAGGAGCUGAAAAAUAUUGCUUUGCUCUCUCACUUUUUGUUAGUGACACUCUUGUACUGCAUUUGUUCUCUAAGUUUUAAUUUGCUUAUAGUCCUGCUUGCUGUUUGUUGUGCCUUUUUUUUUUCUGUAAAACAGUUUCAUAUGUAUACAACACCCAGUGCAGGACAGUUUUCUCUCAAAAAGCCUUGCAACCAUCAGACCUUUGAUUAAGAUAACAGAGAAUAUAGCAAGUUCAUGUGUGAAGAUCUAUGGCCCUGACUGUUCCUAGGUACUUAGCCUUCUCUAGUGGACAAACUCUACAAGUGAAGGAGAGGUUAACAAGCUUGUUAAAAGGCUAAUUAUCCUCAGUCAAUUAUACCUGAAGCAAGUGGCAGUGUUGUCUCCUUUUGAAUUGCCAGUAGAAGACAAGGCUUAGCUUAAAAGGGAAUAGUAGGAAAGCUGACUGCUGUUUUGUGGUAAGAGUUACUGCCUGACUCCAAGAAAAAUUGUUAUGCCAUCCCUGUAAUAAGAUGUGGUGGUGGAGUGAAGAGCAAGGACAUCUGCUGCUCAGAGUACUCCUCGCUGGACUCCCUCCGCACCUGAAGCCUGUUUUAAGAAGUCCCCCACCAUCUAGGGGUGUGGACUGUGCAUCUUCCAGCCAUAUGGAUCCUGGCCAGUUCCUUCAGAUGUUGUAUCACUGGCUCCCGGUUGCAUUUUGUUAGUGCCUAUAGCACGGGAUUUCUGCUUCUAAUUCUUGGCCUAAGCACCUUUCUAAUGGACGCUGUUAGCAUGACACCAGCAGCUGAUGUUCAGGUCCUGAAUGUUCAAAAGCAUUUGAUUUGUGAGAACUGCAGAAUUUCUGGAGAAAAGAGAUCCAUCAAGAGGAGGGAGGUGUCUUUUAGGAGCGUAGCUCAGAUAUGAAAGCAGUGAAUGAGCUGGGUACCUGGACAAAUUGGAUUUCCUGGCCCUGGAUGCUUUGGUGAGG